GAAACAGGCCCCGCCCAUAACUGACGAUAGAACUCAUUAGCUCCUCCCCUGAGUGCACUGGCUGCCUACUACAGUUCGUCGUGUUUAUCUCGUUUAUCUCCUCGCUAGAGCAUAUUUGGUGGUCAAAGAUAGAUGAUCUUGUCUUUUGAAGGCUGAAUCCAGUAUCUGACACCUGAUUUAUCUGGUGAAGUGUUCCCCCUCAGCCACAAACAUGAAAUAUAUGUGUUUUGACCUGGAGAUUCUCUUUCAGAAGAUGCUUAAUAGCACCCCCCUACUGUAUAACAGUGAAAACAUGGAUCUUUCAAGUCUGGAUACCUGCAAUAUGCAUCGCUUCACUUCAGAAGGGCUUUAUUAACCCCCCGGAGCCGUGUGAAGUACG